rnacentral:rRNA from 1 species
UACGGAGGGUGCGAGCGUUGUCCGGAUUUAUUGGGUUUAAAGGGUGCGUAGGCGGCCCGUUAAGUCAGCGGUGAAACCCCCGGGCUCAACCCGGGGAGUGCCGUUGAUACUGUCGGGCUUGGAUUCCCUCUGGGCGGGCGGAAUGGAAGGUGUAGCGGUGAAAUGCAUAGAUAUCGUCAAGAACACCGAUAGUGAAGACAGCUCACUAAGCUCAAACUGACGCUGAGGCACGAAAGUGUGGGGAUCAAACAGG